rnacentral:rRNA from 1 species
UACGUAGGGGGCAAGCGUUGUCCGGAUUUAUUGGGCGUAAAGAGCUCGUAGGCGGCCUGUUGCGUCCGCUGUGAAAGCCCGGGGCUUAACCCCGGGUCGGCAGUGGAUACGGGCAGGCUAGAGGUAGGCAGGGGAGAAUGGAAUUCCCGGUGUAGCGGUGAAAUGCGCAGAUAUCGGGAGGAACACCGGUGGCGAAGGCGGUUCUCUGGGCCUUACCUGACGCUGAGGAGCGAAAGCGUGGGGAGCGAACAGG